rnacentral:pre_miRNA from 1 species
ACCAGCACCAGUUCUUCAGUGGCAAGCUUUAUGUCCUUCUCUAGUAGCUAAAGCUGCCAGUUGAAGAACAAUGUAGC